GUGAACGCUGGCGGUAGGCCUAACACAUGCAAGUCGAACGGCAGCACAGUAAGAGCUUGCUCUUACGGGUGGCGAGUGGCGGACGGGUGAGGAAUACAUCGGAAUCUACUUUUUCGUGGGGGAUAACGUAGGGAAACUUACGCUAAUACCGCAUACGACCUACGGGUGAAAGCAGGGGAUCUUCGGACCUUGCGCGAUUGAAUGAGCCGAUGUCGGAUUAGCUAGUUGGCGGGGUAAAGGCCCACCAAGGCGACGAUCCGUAGCUGGUCUGAGAGGAUGAUCAGCCAAAAUGGAACUGAGACAAGGUCCAAACUCCUACGGGAGGGCGCAGUGGGGAAUAUUGGACAAUGGGCGCAAGCCUGAACCAGCCAUACCGCGUGGGUGAAGAAGGCCUUCGGGUUGUAAAGCCCUUUUGUUGGGAAAGAAAAGCAGCAGGUUAAUACCCCGCUGUUCUGACGGUACCCAAAGAAUAAGCACCGGCUAACUUCGUG
rnacentral:rRNA from 1 species